AUGGACUCUUGUGCCUCGACCUUGGGGUGCCAAUAUCGUCACGGUAAAUGGGUAUUCGGCAUAAACUCAAACCCGAUGGUUCCUUGGAUCGAUACAAAGCUCGUUGGGUUGUUCGUGGAUUCACUCAACGUGCCGGCAUCGACUUUGGUGAGACUUUCAGUCCCGUGGUCAAACCAGCCACAAUCCACACAGUCUUGCAUCUUGCUGCUUCUCGACAUUGGCCCGUGCAUCAGUUGGACGUAUCCAAUGCAUUCCUUCAUGGAGUCCUUCAAGAGCGUGUUUACUGUGCUCAACCAACGGGUUUAA
rnacentral:rRNA from 1 species